UACGAAGGGGGCUAGCGUUGCUCGGAAUCACUGGGCGUAAAGCGCACGUAGGCGGUUUGCUAAGUCAGGGGUGAAAUCCUGGAGCUCAACUCCAGAACUGCCUUUGAUACUGGCGGACUUGAGUCCGGGAGAGGUGAGUGGAACUGCGAGUGUAGAGGUGAAAUUCGUAGAUAUUCGCAAGAACACCAGUGGCGAAGGCGGCUCACUGGCCCGGUACUGACGCUGAGGUGCGAAAGCGUGGGGAACAAACAGG
rnacentral:rRNA from 1 species